rnacentral:lncRNA from 1 species
CUUCAACAUUCUGAAAGAAAUUUAUCUCUUAACUACAAUUAUAUACCCAAACAAAAUGUCAAUAGUGUUAGUAGGAAAAUAAAGACAUGAAGCUCCUAGAAGACAUAAUCCACCAAACAAGGGAGUACACCAAGAAAGAGGAAUAAAUGUGACUUAGGAAACAGCAUCUGAAACACAGAAGACAGAGAAUCCACAGGAUGAUUGUGAAGACAGGUUACAGCAUGUUCCUGAGGAUUGUGUGUCCAUCAGCUAGCACCACAGUCCCUUCCAGCAGCCGUCUCAUGACUCUUUGAGUCCAAAACGCAACGUCUCUUUGAAAGUGCCAGCACUGGGGACCACACAAUCCCUUAUUGAUUUUCUAAUAUAUGCUUACAACAUUGUAAAUGGUCUCUUUAUUAAAUCCUUCUUAAUUAGUCAUAUUUGCCAUCUAUUUCCUGCCUGGAAUUACCUCAUGCAUCAGAUAGAAGACUAUGCAGUAUUCUAGGAAAGAUAAUGGUGACUUGUUUCAGGGGGAUAGCAGUGGAAUUGGUGAGAAAUGAUUGAA